CUUGUGACUUCGCAGGAGACCGCCACUCACGCGGAGCCAAUCGGAACUCGCGGCGGGGUUGCUGGGUCUUCCAGGAUCGCGCAUUAGCGGACGCUGGCUACGGGUGGCCGGGCGGGAUGUAACCGGCUGCUGAGCUGGCAGUUCUGUGUCCCCAGGCUUCGGCCCGGCCGCCGCCGCACAUAAACUGCGAGGAGGAGCUUUACGACUUCUCGGUCUUCGGGGCCGGGCGCAGCAAGGGCCAGACUCUGCGCUAGCAGGCGCUGCGCGCCAACCGGCCGGCCCCUGUCGCAGAAGGUGCAACCGAUCGCACUGUCGCGCAGAAGCUCCUCAAUGGCCAGCGCCAGCUGCAGCCCCGGCUGCCCACUCGCCUCACCUGAGCCUGGGUGGAACAAUCCAAAGUUUUAAUCAAAGAAGGUGGUAUUCAGUUGCUGCUUACAAUAGUUGAUACCCCAGGAUUUGGAGAUGCAGUGGAUAAUAGUAAUUGCUGGCAGCCUGUUAUCAAUUACAUUGAUAGUAAAUUUGAGGACUACCUAAAUGCAGAAUCGCAAGUGAACAGAUGUCAGAUGCCUGGUAACAGGGUGCACUGUUGUUUAUACUUCAUUGCUCCUUCAGGACAUGGACCGUUACAUAACUGAAGACUCCCACCUUCAGGCAGGAUUGGGUAGUACAUGUUUGUAACUACCUGGCAUUGCCUUUUGUUGAGACUUAAACCAUUGGAUAUUGAGUUUACAAAGCAUUUGCAUGAAAAAGUGAAUAUCAUCCCACUUAUUGCCAAAGCAGACACACUCAUGCCAGAGGAAUGCCAACAGUUUAAAAAACAGAUAAAGAAAUCCAAGAACAUAAAGUUAAAAUAUAUGAAUUUCCAGAAACAGAUGAUGAAGAAGAAAAAAAACUUGUUAAAAAGAUAAAGGACCAUUUACCUCUUGCUGUGGUGGGUAGUAAUACUAUCAUUGAAGUUAAUGGCAAAAGGGUCAUAGGAAGGCAGUAUCCUUGGAGUGUUGCUGAAGUUGAAAAUGGUGAACAUUGUGAUUUUACAGUUUUAAGAAAUAUGUUGAUAAGAACACACGCAGGACUUGAAAGAUGUUACUAAUAAUGUCCACUACGAGAACUAUGGAAUCAGAAAACUGGCAGCUGUGACUUAUCAUGGAGUUGAUAACAAGAAGAAUAAAGGGCAGCUCACUAAGAGCCCUCUGGCACAAAUGGAAGAAGAAAGAAGGGAGCAAGUAGCUAAAAUUAAGAAGAUGGAGAUGGAGAUGGAGCAGGUGUUUGAGAUGAAGGUCAAAGAAAAAGUUCAAAAACUGAAGGACUCUGAAGCUGAGUCUGCAGAUGUGGAUCCUGACUCCUGAGAGAAGUAGCUCACCGUGACGAAGCUGCGUUUGCUUUUAUCGAUUUGCAAAUCAAAGAAGGGGGACAUAUUGGGAGAAGGCCCCCCAAAAUCUGGCCAUAAACUGGCCACAAAACUGGCCAUAAAAUCUCUGCAGCACUGUGACAUGCUCAUGAUGGCCAUAACGCCCACGCUGGAAGGUUUUGGGUUUACCGGAAUGAAGGCAAGGAACACCUGGCCUGCCCAGGGCAGAAAACCACUUAAAGGCAUUCUUAAACCACAAACAGUAGCAUGAGCGAUCUGUGCCUUAAGGGCAUGUUCCUGCUGCAGAUAACUAGCCAGACCCACCCCUUUAUUUCAGGCCAUCCCUUCAUUUCCCAUAAGGGAUACUUUUAGUUAAUUGAAUAUCUAUAGAAACAAUGCUAAUGACUGGUUUGCUGUUAAUAAAUAAGUGGGUAAAUCUCUGUUCGGGGCUCUCAGCUCUGAAGGCUGUGAGACCCCUGAUUUCCCACUUUACACCUCUAUA
rnacentral:lncRNA from 1 species